rnacentral:rRNA from 1 species
AACGUAGGACGCGAGCGUCAUCCGGAGUUACUGGGCGUAAAGCGCGGGCAGGCGGCCUGACAAGUCUGAUGUGAAAUCACCCGGCUCAACCGGGCGAGGCCAUUGGAAACUGACAGGCUGGAGGGCAGUAGAGGCAGGCGGAAUUCCGGGAGGAGUGGUGAAAUGCGUAGAGAUCCGGAGGAACACCAGAGGCGAAAGCGGCCUGCUGGGCUGCACCUGACGCUGAGCCGCGAAAGCCAGGGGAGCGAACGGG